rnacentral:rRNA from 1 species
UACGGGGGGGCAAGCGUUGUUCGGAAUUACUGGGCGUAAAGGGCUCGUAGGCGGCCAACUAAGUCAGACGUGAAAUCCCCAGGCUCAACCUGGGAACUGCGUCUGAUACUGGAUGGCUUGAAUCCGGGAGAGGGAUGCAGAAUUCCAGGUGUAGCGGUGAAAUGCGUAGAUAUCUGGAGGAAUACCGGUGGCGAAGGCGGCAUCCUGGACCGGCAUUGACGCUGAGGAGCGAAAGCUAAGGGGAGC